rnacentral:rRNA from 1 species
GAUGAACGCUGGCGGCGUGCCUAAUACAUGCAAGUCGAGCGAACAGACGAGGAGCUUGCUCCUCUGACGUUAGCGGCGGACGGGUGAGUAACACGUGGAUAACCUACCUAUAAGACUGGGAUAACUUCGGGAAACCGGAGCUAAUACCGGAUACUAUAUUGAACCGCAUGGUUCAAUAGUGAAAGACGGUGUUGCUGUCACUUAUCGAUGGAUCCGCGCCGCAUUAGCUAGUUGGUAAGGUAACGGCUUACCAAGGCAACGAUGCGUAGCCGACCUGAGAGGGUGAUCGGCCACACUGGAACUGAGACACAGUCCAGACUCCUACGGGAGGCAGCAGUAGGGAAUCUUCCGCAAUGGGCGAAAGCCUGACGGAGCAACGCCGCGUGAGUGAUGAAGGUCUUCGGAUCGUAAAACUCUGUUAUUAGGGAAGAACAAAUGUGUAAGUAACUAUGCACGUCUUGACGGUACCUAAUCAGAAAGCCACGGCUAACUACGUGCCAGCAGCCGCCGUAA